rnacentral:rRNA from 1 species
AUGGCUGCUCCUCUUUACGAUUUCACUAUUGGUCAAAAUGUUCGCGUCCCUUCCUAUGUGUCUAAAGAAAAGGCAUCUACUUCAACCAAGGCUGCAGACCUUGAUGAAACAUCUUCCUAUCGUUGCUGCUGCUCGCUGCUACUAGUACUACAGCCCUUAGUUGCUCGAAUGGAAGUUUUCCGAGCUGGCCGUGCAAGCAAUGGAAGCGGAAGUUCGACCAUGUUGAGUAUUGCUAGGGCUGAAGAUGCAUUUGCAGGCGCCAUGGUCCCUGUUGGAGUGCUGGUGAAGAUGUUGAGGCCUUGA